GACACUCCAGAACAACUGGAACGUCGCUCACCUCAAACAUUUCCACUUCUAAAAAGGCGUCACCUGAGUCGUACUCUUUUUCCCUUACCGAGUUUUGUCCCAGUUGGGUUUUCUCUGGAAGGUUUUUAACAAGGCGGCAAAGGGGUCACCUGGAGAUGUUUGCAGCACAAGUGCAUCAUCUCCGCCUCUCCAUGAACUCUCCAAGCCAGACAUGAU
rnacentral:lncRNA from 1 species